AAAACAAUACCGCUUGAAUAAAGGGCGUUUUGUAAAUCAGAAUAACGUCGAUCAGCAGUUGUCGGAAUGUAACAUAAAUUUAGGCAAUAAGUCGCGCAAUGCUUCAAUGUUUAAUGUCUUAAAGACAGUGAACUUGUGAAGUGUUUAUAUGGUAUAAUGACAACUGAAUCAAUUAAAAAUCCGCAGUUGAGCCCUAUUAAAGAGCAAGCAUUUAACCAAGCCCUCGGGAAGGUUAUAAAUUAUUCCCGUGAUUGGGAGAAUGGGAGAGAUCAUAGGCGGAC